CUGAAGGGGGGGGGGGGGGGGUCCUGGUGAUAUAUGGAAGCACCGUUGCGUUGGAGUCCGUGGGCUCGGCAAUUACACACGAAAGAGUCUUCCACACCACGAAUUUAACUGUCCGAUUUAGCAACUCACUUCCUCUGAGAGGAACCUUCGCUUAACUUGUUGUUUGCUUCCGAUCCCAGACUUAAGUCAACGAGCCCCCGUCGAUCGAUCUCUACUCUCCUUUUACAAGUCCCCCUCUCCAUCCCAUUCCUCCCGUUGCUCCACUCCCUUCCUCUUUACAAUCCUACAGGAUUUAGUGUUGUUGUGUUUUUGAAACAUUUCAAACCGAGGGGAGUACAAUGAUUUCUCUAACUGGGUUUUGAAUUCAAUUUUAGCCUAUAGCAGUGGUUCUCAACCUAACUUAACAUUGCUUUCUUUUAUUUAUUUCUUUAAUUACUAACAAUCUUUUUAUGUGAAACACUAACAAUAGGAUAAGUUUUAGUUAUUUAAUAUCAUAUGAUAAGUUAUUUUAACUAAUAAGCUAAGGGAAUACUAAUACAAUUAUUUAUUGAAAACUCAAAUUAAGAAGGCCUCUAUUGUUGCCGAUAUCGUCGGUAACAAUUCUCCCCUCGCCAGAGGAGAAAAAUUGUUAUGACAAUUUUUCGUUGGAAAUCUAUUUUAAUUCAUAACGACUUUCAAAGCACAUGACAAUUCAGUGACUGGACCUUAUCCAUGGAACCCCGUGUUCCUUGUUGGUGAAUGUCGGUAAUUAUACUGUUAUAAACCAUCAUCACUUAUUUCAUUGCUAUUCAUUUGUGUUGGUUACAGAGUAUGGAAACGCAAAACCUUUGUUAUCGAUUGAUUAUACUAUCACCUCAAGCCCAAAGUUUGAAAAAAACCAUCAAAUAUUUACACUUGUAUCUGUAUUAAUAAAAAAAACUUUAGACGCGUUCGUCAUUCCAUUUUUAUUCUAAGCUCACUAACAUCAACCUAUUCUAGUUUAAAACCCGGGGAAUAAAUCUUAACAUAUUUAAUUCUAUAUCCAGUGACUAAUUAGUUAACGUCAGCAUGGCAUGUAAACCUAUAGAACCAGUGACUACACGCACGUCAGCAUGGUUUAUCUAACCUAAGUUCCAGUGACCAAAAGUUUUAACGUCAGCGUGGAAUUGCUAUACAGAACCAGUGACUAAAUAGUUGCACGUCAGCAUGGUUGCCUUCUAAUUUCUAGGCCCAUCUGCCUUGAAAUCACAUCUUACUGCUUCUAAAUGUCCAACACAUAGUUUGUAAUUCGAGCUCAUAAGAAACUUAUUCGGUUCAAUUCAAGGUACCCGGGCAUUAUUCGGGGUCUACUAAACGCACUCGCAACCUCUUUCAUUGAGAGAUGUGAGUCGUCAUUCCACAAAAAUUGUGGGGGCUGAUGGAAAACGCUAUACGUUUGAGCGAAGCUGUGUCUGUCACUCCGUAUCAGCUGAUUCGACUGAAUCGCAGCAUAUUCAAAACAAAGCUGUAUUGAUUAUUAUAACUUCCAUUGGAAAUCUGGAUGCCUGUUGGGGCCUGGAGGCUCGCGGAAACCCUUAUUCCAUCGACUACCUCGAAUUCCAAACGAUUUUUAAAACAACGAUUAAACAUCGCUAUACCGACUAAAGUGAAAUGUGAGAGACUUUUAUCUAUUUUGUGACUGUUUUACAGUAACAACGAAAAUAAAUUGGGAAAAGCUGUUAGUGAA